AACGAACGCUGGCGGCAUGCCUAACACAUGCAAGUCGAACGAGACCUUCGGGUCUAGUGGCGCACGGGUGCGUAACGCGUGGGAACCUGCCCUUAGGUUCGGAAUAACUCCCCGAAAGGGGUGCUAAUACCGGAUAAGGUCUUCGGACCAAAGAUUUAUCGCCUUUGGAUGGGCCCGCGUUGGAUUAGCUAGUUGGUAGGGUAAAAGCCUACCAAGGCGACGAUCCAUAGCUGGUCUGAGAGGAUGAUCAGCCACACUGGGACUGAGACACGGCCCAGACUCCUACGGGAGGCAGCAGUGGGGAAUAUUGGACAAUGGGCGAAAGCCUGAUCCAGCAAUGCCGCGUGAGUGAUGAAGGCCUUAGGGUUGUAAAGCUCUUUUACCCGGGAUGAUAAUGACAGUACCGGGAGAAUAAGCUCCGGCUAACUACGUG
rnacentral:rRNA from 1 species